AUGUCGGAGGAGAUGGAGGUGAACUCGGUCCGCUUGAAUUGCAAUGAGGUGGUGACAAGAAAUACUAUCUCGGAGGAGAGGAACAUUAUUUUAAGGCAACAACAGGAUAUUGAUGGUUUUCGCAGAGACAAUGAGAUACUGAAGAAAGACGUGAUGGAGAUGAAACAGUUGUUACAGAAUUUUGUGCAGAUUAAGGAACAGCUGGCGCAGAUGAUAAAUUGGAUGAAACAGAGCUCAAUUUUUACAGAAGUUCCUCAACUUCAGACAAUGGGUGAACACAGCAUGUUUAUUCAAAAAACAUUUCCAAUAGCUCCGUCUGACCAUCAGAGGAUCCCAAUAUUACCAGGACUUCCACCUGCAGAAGAUGCAGGAAAAUCUCGUUAUGCAGAAUUAUUUCCAUCUAGAAGACCUGGAGUUGUGAAGACCAAGCAGAAGAAUUGGAUGAUUUGGAAGAGGACUACAAAACAGAGAUUCAAGUCUGGAGACCUUUAUAAAUUUAAGACAAAGAGCAAACUCAGCAAGUUAUUUAAAAAACCAACAACAAAGAUCUUUGAAGAUGAGCAGGAAAUCAGCGCGCAGGAGCUGGAGGACUUAUGGACAAAGAUUCAGUUAAGGCAGAAUCAGAUGACUGAGUACGUGGAGGGGUUGAACCCCACGCCACAGAUCUUCUACCAUGACCCUGACUACACGCAAAAGCUGGUGCAGGAACUUAAGGCCCAAAAAAAAAAUCUGGACAAGAGGCAGAUGAAAUUAUUCAAGCAAAAAAAGAAAUCAAUUCAGCUGGUGAUUAAGGAGGAUUCUCAAGAAAGGUCUGAGCAUCAGAGCAAUACAGAAGCAGGGGAGAAUCACCGUACAGCUGGACCUCAGUUUGGGGAAGAAGCAGGUGGACGUCAGCAUGCAGCAGCGUCUGCACCAGAAGGAGCAGACGUGCAGGAGUCCAAGCAACUCAUAGAGCAGUUCGACCAGUUGAUGCUUCAUGAUGUUGAGGUAUUCAGUGAAGACAGCAGGUCUACAAACCCAUUUUACACAGCUGGGUCUGAGAAUCAGUGGAUCACAGAAAGAGGUGAACCUCAGCUUGUAGAAGAAGUAGGAGGACCUCAACUUACAGAAGCAUCUGCACCAGGAAGAGCUGACGUACAGGAGUUUAUGGAGCAGGAACAAAUGCAGCAGGUACAAGAGCAGCUUAGUCAGCACAGCGAGCAGGUGAAACACCAGCAGGAUAUUAUGCAGGACUAUAAACAGCACACGGUGAUGCUGGAGCAGGCGAUUAUUAAGAUGGUACAGCCUUCAGUUUAUACAGAGCAUCCUCAAUUUCAGACAAACGGUGAACACAGCAGGUCUAUUGCAGAAACAUUUCAGACAGCCCACGCAGAGCAUCAGAGGAAUGCCAUAGGAGGAGAAUCUCAGUAUGCAGCAGCCUUUUCACCAAGAGAAGCUGACGUUAGGGAACGCCAACUUCAGCAGUUGAUGAUUGGGAAGACAGAGAGUUUAGUACCUACAGAGCUUCAUGAAAUUCCGGCAAUCACUAUUCAAAUGCCAAUUCAGAUAACACAGUCUGAGCAUCAGAUAAACACAGACGUAGGAAGACCUCAGCUUGCAGCAGAAGCAGGAGGACCUCUGAAUGCAGCAGCAUCUGCACAAGGAGUAGUUAACUAUAGGGCGGGCAAUCAGGAUCUUCAGAAGCUGCGGGAGAAAAUUAAACGCAUUCAGAUUGAAAAGCAGGAGCUCAUGGGGCAACUGUGGUACAAAGCGGCCAACUUCCGAUAG
ensembl:lncRNA